GCUGGGCAUGGUGGCGGACGCCUGUAAUCCCAGCUACUUGGGAGGCUGAGGCAGGAGAAUUGCUUGAUCCCAGGAAGGAUGGGUGCAGUGAGCCGAGAUGGUGCCACUGCACUCCAGCCUGGGCGACAGAGCUAGACUCUGUCUCAA
rnacentral:sRNA from 1 species